rnacentral:rRNA from 1 species
AUACGGAGGGUCCAAGCGUUAUCCGGAUUCAUUGGGUUUAAAGGGUCCGCAGGCGGGAAAAUAAGUCAGUGGAGAAAGCCUACAGCUCAACUGUAGAACUGCCAUUGAUACUGUUUUUCUUGAGUAUAGAUGAAGUGGGCGGAAUAUAUCAUGUAGCGGUGAAAUGCAUAGAUAUGAUAUAGAACACCGAUUGCGAAGGCAGCUCACUAAACUAUUACUGACGCUCAGGGACGAAAGCGUGGGGAGCGAACAGGAUUAGAUACCCUAGUAGUCC